rnacentral:lncRNA from 1 species
GAGACCAGCAGGCAGGCUGCGGAGCAAAGGUGCAGAAGCUAGAAGUAAGCCAGGGGGACAACUCUGCGGCCUCCCAGCUAUUCUGCUAAAGACUGGGGGCGGGGGGGGGCGGCUUCGCGGCCUAGCGGUUCCCAAUUGGUUGUCAGGGGUCUCAACAAGAAAUGUGGGCACUUGAAAUCUCAAGCUGUUUCUUGGUCUCUUAUCAAGGAAACUUUUGGUUUCCAGGACCGAGAGAAGCUGCUUACCAUGGCCUCACCUUCCCUGCUGCCUCCACAGCCAACCCCCGGCCUCCGCGCAACCCCUGUCCAAGGGCUCACCCCGCCUAUCCGUCGCCUCUUCUCUGACGCCCAGCCCACAGCCUCACUCCCUCCACUCUGUCUCAAGAAGCCCCCACCCUGUCCCAUCCCAGCCAGUGACUCCAUCCGGUUCCCGCGCCAGUAACAACCAACCUCGGUGGCGCGCCGCCUGCCGACAGGACCACCAACCCCUCCUGGAAACCACACCAGCACGUCUGGAGUGCGGUAGAAUAGAUGCUUCCGCUGAAUUUACCCCCAGAAUACACAGAUAUGAGUUCACUAGGUUACAAUGAUGCGAACUCUAAAGUGAUGAGAUUUUUUUUAAAAAAAAAAUAUCUUAAAGCACAUCUUUGAAUUGAAAAAAAAAAAAUUUAAACCAAAGUCAACAAGCUAACUGCUACUUUCCUUAUGAGUUUUCCCAAGGAAAAGAGGCUUGUCUCUGCCCAGACACCAAUGUUAAACGAACUUUCUAGUAGGCUGAAACUCGAUCUAACAAUAACAAUAGUGUGUACUUAAUGAGGAUUCCAUUUUGAUUUCAAAUGAGGAUAAUUCGUUAACCUUAAGUUGGUUCCAUCAAGGCAAGGAUUGUUUCUAGACGUUCUUGCAAAGCAUUUUGCCUCCGGGAACAUUUUCGGAGAACCAAUAGAUGGAGUGUGUGUAUGUAUGGGGAGAGUGGGUGGGAUUCUGAACAAUUCCCAACCUUGCUUGUUCAAUUUUCUGCAAAACUAUCCUAAAAAACCCCCAGCGUCCUCUUUAACAGGCACCAAAUGAUAGGCGCCACAGAAAUCCAAAGACAUCCUUCCUCCCUCCUCUACCCCCAUCAAACCAUCUAAAGGUUGUCUUUUCUUCCUAGAACCUAUUCUGUAGAAAAGCAACAGUUGUCCAGAGGCACUCUUCACUCCCAGAAGAGGGAUGGUGUUGGUGGUAAGCCUUCCAUGGCAGGAAGACUCCGGGCUCUCUAUUUCAGCACACUGGGAGAAUAGAACUCCUGUAACUGGCAGGAAGUGAGGGUGACUCUAGGACCAGCAGGACACAAUCUGCUCAGGCACAAGACAGGGCCCGACUGGGCUCGGCUUGGUAGACAUAGGGUGGUGCACAGUAAAGUGGUACCCAGAACAGUAGAGAGCCACAGAAGGCUUCCAGGGUAGGAAGUUUCAAUCACCAAACAGCUCCAUAGUGAUAUAUGGUAACCACAGGACGAAUUCUAGACUUAGCGGUUGAUUUGCUUAUCCCUCCAGAUGCUCUUGGACCAAAGAAACACUCAGGCUCGGAAUUGCUAGCUUAAGUCUUCCAGUGCAAUUCCAGCCAGAGAUAAGAAACUUUCAUCAGGGAGCCUCCUUCCCUUGCCUCCCAGUGCAGACAUGUCUCCCCAUUUGGACCUAAAGUUUGCGGGCAGAAGCCUCUUAAUUCUUGUUUUUGUAGCCUGAUGUGAUUUAAUCUACUUUUUGUUUCCUUGUUUUCCUUUUUUUCAUUUCAAUGUCUAUAUUUGCUUGGUUUCUUGUCCAAUUCCAACCUCAUAGCUGCAGUCUUGCAAGUCUUACUUUGUAAGCAAUUCAGUAUCAUUUUCCUAAUGCUAGUACUAAAAGGAAAAGCAGAUAAAGUGGAUGGGCUAAACUGUAAAGAAAGCCAGUAACGUCCAUAUGGGAGGCCAGCUGGGGAGUAAGAAAACCAGAGAAUGGCCAAGGGGACUAGCAAGAAAAAAUGAUAGAAGCAAAAAGAAACCUCACUCUGGAGAAAUUCAAUUAAUAUCAGUAGAUGGGCAGGAAGGAGUACAGCCAAGACCUAAGGCACAUGCCUAGGUUGGGCAGGCAUAGAACAGAAUGAAGAGGAAGCAGAUGUGUAUAUAGUAGUGUCUCUUAGCCCAAAGGCAAAUCUAGAAAACUCUGCCUUUCCUCUGGCCAAGCUUUUAAGAAUGGGGGCUGUCUUGCCAGAGCAAACAGCUAUGCAGUCACUCUGGACAACUCUGGGCUCUGCACCCUGGGAAGGUGCAAAUUCAGGGAAUCCUGGGGGUGGGGACUCAGUCGCCUCUGGAAACUUCUAUAGAAGUAGCUAAAACUCUCCCCCCCCGCCUUUCUCGGAACACGUGCCCCACUCUCCUCCCUGUGGUUGGGAGAAGAGGCUUUGGAAAAGGGGAAAAAUUAGUUUCCCCUACCCUGGCCGUGGGACAGCGGCCUUGUUAGUCCCUGCGAAUGCAGCCUCUAAGAAGGCGUCACGUGGAGGGCGACCCAGCGGCCUCAGAGUAUGGAGGGGGAGAUUCCGCUGUAAUUAGGAGCGGAUCCCAGCCCGGGGCCCUCACCUAGGUGGCUUGCCAGGAUGGAAGACGUCCUGAAAAGGUGAUCUUCCUUACCCGCGACGGGGUCGGGCUGCUUGUUUUGGCAGGCGACACGACAUCCCCACUCC